rnacentral:rRNA from 1 species
CCUACGGGAGGCAGCAGUGAGGAAUAUUGGUCAAUGGGCGCGAGCCUGAACCAGCCAAGUAGCGUGAAGGAUGACUGCCCUACGGGUUGUCAACUUCUUUUAUAAAGGAAUAAAGUGAGGCACGUGUGCCUUUUUGUAUGUACUUUAUGAAUAAGGAUCGGCUAACUCCGUGCCAGCCGCCGCGGUAAUACUGAGGAUCCGAGCGUUAUCCGGAUUUAUUGGGUUUAAAGUGAGCGGAGAUGGGGUGUUAAGUCAGUUGUGAAAGUUUGCGGCUCAACCGUAAAAUUGCAAUUGAUACUGGCAGUCUUGAGUACAGUUGAGGUAGGCAGAAUUCGUGGUGUAGCGGUGAAAUGCUUAGAUAUCACGAAGAACUCCGAUUGCGAAGGCAGCUUACUAAACUGCCACUGACAUUGAUGCUCGAAAGUGUGGGUAGCAAACAGGAUUAGAUACCCUAGUAGUC